GUGCUCGCUCUGGCAGAACAUAUAGUAAAAUUGGAAUGAUCCAAAGAUUAGCCUGGCUCCUGUGCAAGGAUGACACGCAAAUUCAUGAAGUGUUCCAUAUUUAA